GAAAAACAUUAAAUUUGUAAGUUUCAUGGGGCCGGCAAGUGGUGUGUAUUCAGUAGCUGCCAACAGUGACCAUUAUUAUUGCUAGCCAACCCGUGUGAGUUUUGCCCAGUCGACACACGUCUCUCUUUCAUGAAAGUUAAGAGAUAUAUGGCCUUCAGUCCCCCACUAUAUUUGCCUAUGUCUUCUAGUGCAUAAAAAUACUCGUCAUUGCCAAAAACUCUCACACACC
rnacentral:lncRNA from 1 species